rnacentral:rRNA from 1 species
GAUGAACGCUGGCGGCGUGCUUAACACAUGCAAGUCGAACGGAAAGGCCCAAGCUUGCUUGGGUACUCGAGUGGCGAACGGGUGAGUAACACGUGGGUGAUCUGCCCUGCACUUCGGGAUAAGCCUGGGAAACUGGGUCUAAUACCGGAUAGGACCACUUCUUGGAUGUUGUGGUGGAAAGUUUUUUCGGUGUGGGAUGAGCUCGCGGCCUAUCAGCUUGUUGGUGGGGUAAUGGCCUACCAAGGCGUCGACGGGUAGCCGGCCUGAGAGGGUGUACGGCCACAUUGGGACUGAGAUACGGCCCAGACUCCUACGGGAGGAAGCAGUGGGGAAUAUUGCACAAUGGGCGCAAGCCUGAUGCAGCGACGCCGCGUGGGGGAUGACGGCCUUCGGGUUGGAAACUCCUUUCGCUAGGGACGAAGCGUUUUGUGACGGUACCUGGAGAAGAAGCACCGGCUAACUACGUG